GCGUACUUAGCUCAAUGGUUAGAGCAUCGCUCAUCAAUGCUGAGUUUGUGGGUUUCAGUCCCACAGUACACA
rnacentral:tRNA from 1 species